GGCUUGGAGGCUAAAUGGUAAAGCACUUGGCUUCCAAACCAAGAGGUUUCAGGUUGGCCCUAAGAGUCCACCCAAGUCU
rnacentral:tRNA from 1 species